rnacentral:rRNA from 1 species
CCUACGGGAGGCAGCAGUAGGGAAUAUUGGACAAUGGGGGGAACCCUGAUCCAGCCAUGCCGCGUGUGUGAAGAAGGCCCUCGGGUUGUAAAGCACUUUCAGUGAGGAAGAACGCCUGGUGGUUAAUACCCAUCAGGAAAGACAUCACUCACAGAAGAAGCACCGGCUAACUCCGUGCCAGCAGCCGCGGUAAUACGGAGGGUGCGAGCGUUAAUCGGAAUUACUGGGCGUAAAGCGCGCGUAGGUGGCUUGAUAAGCCGGUUGUGAAAGCCCCGGGCUCAACCUGGGAACGGCAUCCGGAACUGUCAAGCUAGAGUGCAGGAGAGGAAGGUAGAAUUCCCGGUGUAGCGGUGAAAUGCGUAGAGAUCGGGAGGAAUACCAGUGGCGAAGGCGGCCUUCUGGACUGACACUGACACUGAGGUGCGAAAGCGUGGGUAGCAAACAGGAUUAGAUACCCUAGUAGUC